rnacentral:rRNA from 1 species
GACGAACGCUGGCGGCGUGCCUAAUACAUGCAAGUAGAACGCUGAAGGAGGAGCUUGCUUCUCUGGAUGAGUACCGAACGGGUGAGUAACGCGUAGGUAACCUGUCUGGUAGCGGGGGAUAACUAUUGGAAACGAUAGCUAAUACCGCAUAAGAGUCGAUGUCGCAUGACAUUUGCUCUAAAGGUGCAAUUGCAUCACUACCAGAUGGACCUUCGUAUUAUUUGCGAGGUGGGGCGUUAACGGCUCACCAAGGCAACGAUACAUACCCGGCCUCAGGGGGGGGUCAGCCACCCUGGGAAUGAGGCACGACCCAGACAACCUGAAGAGGCAGCAGUAGGGGAGCUGCGGGGAUGGGGCGAAGUCAGACCAAGCAACGCCGCGUGAGUGAAGGUGGUCUUCGGGACGUAAAGCGCUGUUGUGGGAGAAGAGCGCGUGUGGGGGUGGAAAGUUCACGCUGUGACGGUACCUUAGCAGGAAGCGACGGCUAACUACGUG